UACGAAGGGGGCUAGCGUUGCUCGGAAUCACUGGGCGUAAAGGGCGCGUAGGCGGCUUCGCUAGUCGGGCGUGAAAUGCCUGGGCUUAACCCGGGAAUUGCGUUCGAUACUUCGAGGCUAGAGUGUGGGAGAGGUUGGUGGAAUUCCCAGUGUAGAGGUGAAAUUCGUAGAUAUUGGGAAGAACACCGGUGGCGAAGGCGGCCAACUGGACCACAACUGACGCUGAGGCGCGAAAGCGUGGGGAGCAAACAGG
rnacentral:rRNA from 1 species